UAAUGAUAUUCGAAACUAAAUUACAAAUCCACGGGCGCAAAUUCUCCAGGCGAUCAAAGAUAUCAACCCGUGUGCCGUCAACAACAUGGCUGCGCCCGCGAAGAGCGUGUCGAAAGCUCCUCUGCCGUUUUUAUCAUAAAAUUUGUGUCUACUUGUCUAAUUUAGGGACAAUGAAAGGCCACAAGCAGAACUCGUGAAUGGCCAGCCCCAACACAAGCUGGAAUGAGUGUGAAUUGCCUGAAGAAAUUAUCAGUUGAAUAGAUGACGACUACCUCCAUAUAUUGGGAAAAAAUCUUCAGCGUGACAGGACAUGGAAGGUGACCAGAUCCCCCUGUUGUGCAUUGUACAAACAAGCAUCGUGUCCAGUUGUUUGUGUUGAGAAAGUUUUAUGCCUUUUAUUAAAGGCUGUUUAAUAGAUUUAAUUUUAAUUUGAAUUAAGAGGAAAGGAAAUUUAUUUCAAGUGGGGUCUAAGACAAAAAAUAGAAGAUAGAAGACAGACUGAAUAUAUGUCUUUGCAUGGGACCUUGAACUAAAAACAUUAUCCGGUCAUUGUUUGGAAAUUCCUAUCUUGAAGGAUUUACAGAUACUGUACUUAAAAUACAGAAACAUAGUUUGUUAUAGCAGUGAAAUGCACUUUUAUGCAUUGCAAAGAAUAAGAGUACUUGUGAAAUAAAAGUAAGACUGCUCUGGAUAAGAAAUGUUGGCAUAAUAAAUCAACAGGACAGUAGAAUUACUGAAUGCAAGUAGAUUUUUCGGGUAUUUAUACUGUGUUUUGCCCAUUUGAAAAAAAUAUGUUAUC